CAGGAUACUUGUAACUUGAAACUAAAUAAUCUAUUAAGAAGUUAUGCUACUACAUUUUACUUCUACUGUCGCUAAAAACAUUUGCAACUGCAUUUUUGACUAAUAGGUUUAAGAAACGGCACCUUUUAUUUUCCUUGUUUCCAGGAAGGUAUUUCUGGAGUUGCCAAGAUUUGCACUGGAGCCUCAACUUACUCUGGAUCUACAUACAAGUACCUAUAAGGUGUGGUAGUGGUAGAUUCAUAGCAACAUCCUUCAGUAGAGAAUUACCAGAUGAUGUCUUGGACUUCCUUGCUGGCACAUCCACUUGUAAAAGAGCUUUUCUGCAUUCUUGUCACUGCAGGUGAUGUGUAUAUAUAUUUUUUUACCUAAUCAAAGAAAAGAGGGAGAUCAGAAUGAGAUUAGAAAGUAUCAUUAUAAAGAAAAGAGGCUGUGUUAAAUUACAGGAGUGUGAAAAAGCAAUAUUAUGAGCCCAAGGGAGAGCUUAUGUAAAAAAAUUCGGAAGGUUUUCAAUUAGAGGUGCAUGGUAUAUUGUAAGAGAAUCACCACUGCGUUCUGAACACAACUUGAUAUGCUCCCACUGGUUGCCAAAGUGAUACGGAGCUUUCUGCCCUCAGGGGUUAUGAUCCUCCCUACAUGUUUCUCAAAAGGGAAGCUAGCCUGGUGUGUCACUGACUGUCAUCCUUUUCUGUUUUGUUUAAUGUACAUACAACUGCUACUUUGCUGGCUGUGCAGUACCUCUGACCAUGGUAACCACUGCUUUUCCCUUGUCAAGCCACAAGAGCUUCAUUCUGUGAACUAGCUCUUCAUGUAAACUCAGGAGUACUGUGCUGCAUGUGAGUUUAUUGAUCUGUCCUUUUUACCCAUUCAAGAGUGUAUAAUCCUUGGCUUCAUAUGAAUAAUCUCCACGUGUGGAAAAUGUUCAUGACACUGUAUUGGUAGCUAUUACUUAAAAUAUCACAGAACCACCAAGGUUGGAAAAGACCUACAAGAUCAUCCAGUACAAUUGUCCACCUACCACCAAUAUUUCCUCACUAAACCAUGUCCCUUAACACAACAUCUGAGCGUUUCUUGAACGCCUCCAGGGACAGUGAAUCAACCACCUCCCUGGCCAGGCUGUUCUAGCAUCCAGCUACUCUUUUGGAGAAUAAUUUCCUAACGUUCAACCUGAAUCUCCCCUGGUACAAACUGAGGCCAUUCCCU
rnacentral:lncRNA from 1 species